rnacentral:tRNA from 1 species
GGGGGCAUAGCUCAGUUGGUAGAGCGCCUGCUUUGCAAGCAGGAGGUUUCUUGGGUUCGAGCCCCAAUGUCUCCA